GAGCCCAGUUUCGGUGCUGGAGAACAGCAGUACAAGCAGCACCAGCAACAGCGGGAAUAGCGGCACAAAUGGCAGCGUUAUAAUGAAUUACUGCCGCAGUCCUCAGGUGCCUGUCAAGGCCAGAAGCAAGCAUCACCGCCGGCGGCGCCGCGACCUCCAAGCCCAACAGUGCUGGUGGAGUCUGGAGAAUUUGAAGACAGUGAAGCCAUCCGUAACAUCAUCGACAAUGGGUAGAAAAUGCCAGCAUUGCGGUGCUGAAAAGACCCCUCAAUGGCG
rnacentral:misc_RNA from 1 species